CAUGUUAGUGCAUUCAGGUGACAAACCUCAUGUGUGUCCAGAGUGUGGGAAGAGAUUUAGUCGUCUUGGUGAUAUGAAGAGGCACAAAAUGAUACAUGCAGAUAAUCGGCUAAACACUUACAGUGUGGAAGGAACACCACUUGAAUAUGGCGGGGCUUGUGUGGGUGUGGAUGCAAAGUGAUCUGGCCGCAGCGGUGCGACCCAUCGUGGCUGCAUUGAUUUACGUCCUGGAUGAUCCCGGAAGCGCCUUAGUCGGACCUUAGCAUGCAUCUUAGCCCGGACACAAGUUCGAACCCUCAUUACGGCCUUUGUGGAUUUGUUCAUGUAUCAUGAUAUUGUGAUUUCUGUAUCACAAGUGAUGUUCUUUUCCUUAAGAAUGUAUUCCAUGAUUUGUAUACAGAUAAAGGUUUGAUUGAUAACAGUUGUGUACCUCUACUUGUCUUGAUAAUAAACAAUAAAAAUA